UACGUAGGGGGCUAGCGUUGUCCGGAAUCAUUGGGCGUAAAGAGCGUGUAGGCGGCCCGGUAAGUCCGCUGUGAAAGUCGGGGGCUCAACCCUCGAAUGCCGGUGGAUACUGUCGGGCUAGAGUGCGGAAGAGGCGGAGUGGAAUUCCUGGUGUAGCGGUGAAAUGCGCAGAUAUCAGGAGGAACACCGAUUGCGAAGGCAGCUCGCUGGGACGUUACUGACGCUGGAGACGCGAAAGCGUGGGGAGCAAACAG
rnacentral:rRNA from 1 species